CAGUAGCCGCGGUAAUACGUAGGGUGCGAGCGUUAAUCGGAAUUACUGGGCGUAAAGCGUGCGCAGGCGGUUCGUUAAGACAGAUGUGAAAUCCCCGGGCUUAACCUGGGAACUGCAUUUGUGACUGGCGAGCUAGAGUAUGGCAGAGGGGGGUAGAAUUCCACGUGAAGCAGUGAAAUGCGUAGAGAUGUGGAGGAAUACCGAUGGCGAAGGCAGCCCCCUGGGCCAAUACUGACGCUCAUGCACGAAAGCGUGGGGAGCAAACAGGAUUAGAUACCCCAGUAGUCCCUGUCUCUUAUAC
rnacentral:rRNA from 1 species